rnacentral:rRNA from 1 species
AUUGAACGCUGGCGGCAUGCCUUACACAUGCAAGUCGAACGGUAACAGGUCUUCGGAUGCUGACGAGUGGCGAACGGGUGAGUAAUACAUCGGAACGUGCCUAGUAGUGGGGGAUAACUACUCGAAAGAGUGGCUAAUACCGCAUGAGAUCUACGGAUGAAAGCAGGGGAUCGCAAGACCUUGUGCUACUAGAGCGGCCGAUGGCAGAUUAGGUAGUUGGUGGGAUAAAAGCUUACCAAGCCGACGAUCUGUAGCUGGUCUGAGAGGACGAUCAGCCACACUGGGAAUGAGACACGGCCCAGACUCCUACGGGAGGCAGCAGUGGGGAAUUUUGGACAAUGGGCGCAAGCCUGAUCCAGCAAUGCCGCGUGCAGGAUGAAGGCCUUCGGGUUGUAAACUGCUUUUGUACGGAACGAAAAGCCCCGGGUUAAUACCCUGGGGUCAUGACGGUACCGUAAGAAUAAGCACCGGCAAACUACGUGCCAGCAGCCGCGGUAA